rnacentral:rRNA from 1 species
UGCCAGCAGCCGCGGUAAUACGGGAGUGGCAAGCGUUAUCCGGAAUUAUUGGGCGUAAAGCGCGCGUAGGCGGAUUGGAAAGUUGGGGGUGAAAUCCCGGGGCUCAACCCCGGAACUGCCUCUUAAACUCCUGGUCUUGAGUUCGAGAGAGGUGAGUGGAAUUCCAAGUGUAGAGGUGAAAUUCGUAGAUAUUUGGAGGAACACCAGUGGCGAAGGCGGCUCACUGGCUCGAUACUGACGCUGAGGUACGAAAGUGUGGGGAGCAAACAGGAUUAGAUA